rnacentral:rRNA from 1 species
AAAGGAAUUGACGGGGACCCGCACAAGCGGUGGAUCAUGUUCUUUAAUUCGAUGAUAAACGAAGAACCUUACCAGGGUUUGACAUCCCGAGAAGGACUACGAAAGUAGACUGUGCCUUUUGGAACUCGGUGACAGAUGAUGCAUGGCCGUCGUCAGCUCGUGUCGUGAGAUGUUUGGUUAAGUCCAUCAACGAGCGCAACCCUUGUGAAUAGUUGUAUUUUUCUAUUCAGACUGCCCCGGUAACGGGGAGGAAGGAGGGGAUGAUGUCAGGUCAGUAUUUCUCUUACAUCCUGGGCUAGAAACGUGAUACAAUGGCAAGUACAAUGCGCAGCGAAGCCGCGAGGUGAAGCAAAUCGCAUCAAAGCUUGUCCCAGUUCGGAUAAGAGGCUGAAACUCGCCUCUUUGAAGUCGGAAUCGCUAGUAAUCGCAGGUCAGCAAACUGCGGUGAAUACGUUCCCGGGUCUUGCACACACCGCCCGU